rnacentral:rRNA from 1 species
AUUGAACGCUGGCGGCAGGCUUAACACAUGCAAGUCGAGCGGGGUGAUGGUGCUUGCACUAUCACUUAGCGGCGGACGGGUGAGUAAUGCUUAGGAAUCUGCCUAUUAGUGGGGGACAACAUCUCGAAAGGGAUGCUAAUACCGCAUACGUCCUACGGGAGAAAGCAGGGGAUCACUUGUGACCUUGCGCUAAUAGAUGAGCCUAAGUCGGAUUAGCUAGUUGGUGGGGUAAAGGCCUACCAAGGCGACGAUCUGUAGCGGGUCUGAGAGGAGGACCGCGCACAUGGGGCCUGCGACACGGCCCAGAGUCCUACGGGAGGCAGCAGUGGGGAAUUUUUGACAAUGGGGGGACCCCUGAUCCACCCAUGCCGGGUGUGUGAAGAAGGCCUUAUGUUUGUAAAGCACUUUAAGCGAGGAGGAGGCUCUUUUGGUUAAUACCCAAGAUGAGUGGACGUUACUCGCAGAAUAAGCACCGGCUAACUCUGUGCCAGCCGCCGCGGUAA